GAGUUUACAUAUUUCUGUCGUCGAAAAAUAAACACAGACUCGGCUCCUUUGACAGCGAGUUCUAAAAUGUGUAGAAAAUCUGAUUAAAAAUCAAACAGUACGAAAUAGUGGAUUUCAUGUGGAGAAAAGACAAAGCCUAUCAACCUUUGACUGGAGCUCUGACUGCCCAGUAACACUCACUCAACUGAAACACAACUGACCAGUGGACAUCACCCAUGAACCAGAGGAGCUGCCACUCCAACAAUCUACCAAAGUCUGAGGGAGAGCAGGUGUUCAGUGGGAGGAGCUGGAAUGAAAGAGUCACCGUUCUCCUGAUUCCAGCACAUAUUUCUGAGGGACUCUAGCUCCACCUGGUGACGAGGAAUUCCUCAGAGACCUCUAUAGGACGCAGGUGGACGGAGGCUUUGAUGUGGGAGGAGACCUGAUGUAGACUGUGCUGCACACAAACAAUUAAAAUGGAGGAAGUGAAAACAUAAAAGAAGUUGCACAGGAUAAGGAGCAAAGUGCCGGGAACCAUUCAACUGCAGCUUCCUGGUUAAAUAUCAUUCAGAUUCAGGGAAUUGUUGGUCUCCUUGUUCCUGACGUUCACCACCAGUACGGUUACUGGUAUUGUCUCUCUCACAUUCUGUCUCCUGCAGUGAGCAGAGUUUAUGAGACGAUGUCAGACACGGCAGCUGAAGUGCAGAUUGAAGAAUCCUUGAAGAGUCUCACUCUUACUCCCUGUAGACUUAAUGACCUUGUCGAGGAACAACUGCUUUUUAAAAGACGUUCUCUCUCUCCACUGUCACCAAUUGUCAGGAGGUAAUUUUCGCAGUUCACUUCGUGGCGGCUGCAGGUGAAAGCUGCUGCUGUCACGAUGACAGAAAGAGAUGAGAUCCUGCAGGUUUCUCUGGGGACGGCCAUGUCAGUCCGUCCGUCCAUCCACCGCUUU